UUGAACGCUGGCGGCAGGCCUAACACAUGCAAGUCGAACGGUAACAGGAAGCAGCUUGCUGCUUCGCUGACGAGUGGCGGACGGGUGAGUAAUGUCUGGGAAACUGCCUGAUGGAGGGGGAUAACUACUGGAAACGGUAGCUAAUACCGCAUAACGUCGCAAGACCAAAGAGGGGGACCUUAGGGCCUCUUGCCAUCGGAUGUGCCCAGAUGGGAUUAGCUAGUAGGUGGGGUAACGGCUCACCUAGGCGACGAUCCCUAGCUGGUCUGAGAGGAUGACCAGCCACACUGGAACUGAGACACGGUCCAGACUCCUACGGGAGGCAGCAGUGGGGAAUAUUGCACAAUGGGCGCAAGCCUGAUGCAGCCAUGCCGCGUGUAUGAAGAAGGCCUUCGGGUUGUAAAGUACUUUCAGCGGGGAGGAAGGGAGUAAAGUUAAUACCUUUGCUCAUUGACGUUACCCGCAGAAGAAGCACCUGCUAACUCCGUG
rnacentral:rRNA from 1 species